rnacentral:rRNA from 1 species
GAUGAACGCUAGCUACAGGCUUAACACAUGCAAGUCGAGGGGCAGCAUGGUCUUAGCUUGCUAAGGCCGAUGGCGACCGGCGCACGGGUGAGUAACACGUAUCCAACCUGCCGUCUACUCUUGGACAGCCUUCUGAAAGGAAGAUUAAUACAAGAUGGCAUCAUGAGUUCACAUGUUCACAUGAUUAAAGGUAUUCCGGUAGACGAUGGGGAUGCGUUCCAUUAGAUAGUAGGCGGGGUAACGGCCCACCUAGUCUUCGAUGGAUAGGGGUUCUGAGAGGAGGGUCCCCCACAAUGGAACUGCGACACGGUCCAAACUCCUACGGGAGGCAGCAGUGAGGAAUAUUGGUCAAUGGGCGAGAGCCUGAACCAGCCAAGUAGCGGGAAGGAUGACUGCCCUAUGGGUUGUAAACUUCUUUUAUAAAGGAAUAAAGUCGGGUAUGUAUACCCGUUUGCAUGUACUUUAUGAAUAAGGAUCGGCUAACUCCGUG